rnacentral:rRNA from 1 species
AAUCAACGCUGGCGGCGUGCCUCAGACAUGCAAGUCGAACGCGAAAGUUCCCUUCGGGGGGCGAGUAGAGUGGCGCACGGGUGAGUAACACGUAGGUAAUCUACCUUUGGGUGGGGAAUAACAGCCGGAAACGGCUGCUAAUACCGCAUAAUGCAGCGGCUCGACAUCGAGACAGUUGUUAAAGCGGGGGAUCGCAAGACCUCGCGCCUAAAGAGGAGCCUGCGGCGGAUUAGCUUGUUGGUGAGGUAAUGGCUCACCAAGGCAUCGAUCCGUAGCCGGCCUGAGAGGGCGGUCGGCCACACUGACACUGACAUAC